ACGCCUACUAUGAGCCUCUCGCUCCUCCUCUCGGGGUGUAGUCAUCGAAAGAAAGGCAAGCUGGGUUACAGCAGCUCAGCCUGAAUCGACACACACACACACACACACACACACACACACACACUCUCUCUCUCUCUCUCUCUCUCUCUCUCUACAUUCAUACCCUGGUACUCACUAACAAUCUUCCCCGCUAUCCCCCUAUUUUUGUCUCUAACAAGCCUCAAUGCUUUAGAUUGAGCUGCUUCAACCCCUGGAUGGCGGUCUCAUGCGAGCCAGUACAUCAACUUCAACUUUCCUCAUUUUCUAAAUACACGAAGCCUUCAUUUUCACGCAUGAUUAAUAACAAAUGGACUGUUAUCUUCUUGGGGACGGCUGGCCAAAUACGACAGGAGACACUACAAACAACACACUGAGUCCCAGAGCUGUUUAAGACUGAGACUCAGGAUUAAAGCUUGUAGUGGUCCACUUGGGAGCCCUAGAUGAGUAUUUAAUUCUCACGCUGUGCAUGUGAGCCAGGAGAAGAGUGAGUUUGAUAGACUCCAUUACCCAGUAAGAGUUUGCAUGGUUGUGUGCGCAUGCAUGGGUGAGUGUAUGUUUG
ensembl:lncRNA